UACGUACGAGGCGAGCGUUAUCCGGAAUUACUGGGCGUAAAGCGCGCGCAGGUGGCGUGUUAAGUAGGGCGUGAAAUCUCCCGGCCUAACUGGGAGGGGUCGCCCUAGACUGGCAGGCUUGAGGCUGGCAGAGGUGGGUGGAAUUCCUGGUGUAGUGGUGAAAAUGCGUAGAGAUCAGGAGGAACACCGGUGGCGAAGGCGGCC
rnacentral:rRNA from 1 species